rnacentral:misc_RNA from 1 species
UCUUCGUAGGUGAACCUGCGGAGGGAUCAUUGAUGAACUUAAUAACUUCUUCGCUGGUGCGCUUAGACGUGCUGCGAGAUGUUCAUCCCACACACACUGUGCACCCCUUUUUUUCCUGCUGAUGCAACGGCGAAACCGGGCUUUCGGGCUUGUGGACUAGCUGGCGCGUUGGCGGCGAAGCGCUUGUGAAUGUAAACAGUCAUGGAGUUAUAAUUGUUUCCUUUAUUGGAAUACGUCUUAACAACUAUUAACGGUGGACCUCUUGGCUCUCGCAUCGAUGAAGAACGCAGC